rnacentral:rRNA from 1 species
AGUGAACGCUGGCGGUAGGCCUAACACAUGCAAGUCGAACGGCAGCACAGUAAGAGCUUGCUCUUACGGGUGGCGAGUGGCGGACGGGUGAGGAAUACAUCGGAAUCUACUUUUUCGUGGGGGAUAACGUAGGGAAACUUACGCUAAUACCGCAUACGACCUACGGGUGAAAGCAGUGGAUCUUCGGACCUUGCCCGAUUGAAUGAGCCGAUGUCGGAUUAGCUAGUUGGCGGGGUAAAGGCCCACCAAGGCGACGAUCCGUAGCUGGUCUGAGAGGAUGAUCAGCCACACUGGAACUGAGACACGGUCCAGACUCCUACGGGAGGCAGCAGUGGGGAAUAUUGGACAAUGGGCGCAAGCCUGAUGCAGCCAUACCGCGUGGGUGAAGAAGGCCUUCGGGUUGUAAAGCCCUUUUGUUGGGAAAGAAAAGCAGCAGGUUAAUACCCCGCUGUUCUGACGGUACCCAAAGAAUAAGCACCGGCUAACUUCGUG